rnacentral:lncRNA from 1 species
UUGGUCCCCUUCCCUUUAGCUCUAGCCUAGAUCUGUCCCACACAUCUGUCACAAAAGAAACCCAUCUCUUGACAGUUUAGUUCACCAUGACUCAUACACUGAAAGGCGGCCUCUCUAGAUUGAAAAGAAGGAGUUUCAAAGGGAUUAAUUGUUCAGUGGCUAAGAAACUUAAUCCUUUAAAAGUAACUGAGCUUAUAGCACCCUCAAAUUUGAUUUUUAGCAUGGCAGGAUGGAGGCUUUCUAUGUUCCUCGGGUCAAUGGCUGGGGCCCGUGAGUAAAACCAGUACAAGGCAGAGGAGCAACCGAAAACCGAAAUCAGUUUGAAUCACGUGCAUCUAUCUACAUCGUCACCCACAGAGGAAGCCGUAGCUCAGGAAGCAGCCAGAACCAGGCGUUUACACGUGAAAUCUUAGGCUUGAUCAGGAAAGGGAGAUUUUAAUCCUGAUGGGAAAGGGACUUCUGAGAAAAUACCUAAGAACUGGAUGGUGGGCAGGGCAGUCUGGUAAGCCGCAGCCUGCAGAUAUGGUGCUUUCUCUCAUGGUGAACAGCUCUGCCCAGAGAUUGGAGGGAGACAGAGGGCGGUGACUGGAGUUGUGAGCUCACCUACUCUACAACUUUAUUCCAGUCUCUUCCAUAAGUCAGUCCCUUACAAUACACCCAGACUGACCCCUCCUGCUGCAGUAGGAUCUCUGUAUCUUCCCUCCCCUCCCUCCCUCCCUCCCUCCCUCCCUC